ACUCUCCCUUUGGAGGGAUAAUGUUGGCUAAUUCCCAAGGCUGAAUAUGUGGGGAAGACCUUCCAGUCUCAGAACCCUGGCUAGACUACUAGGGGACAGAAUAGGUCACUACCUGGAAACUGUGAUGGAGGUUAUGGCACUGUUUAUCCUUGUGUUCAUUCCCACCCGCAGCCCUCAUUUAGUUCCAAAUCCCUUACCCAAACAGGAAGGGCUACAAGAGAUCUGAGUUUUCCCCAGACAGGUCCUGAAGGACAGUGUAGCUCCAUAUGCCCUGUGGAGGAAAUUUGGUGACCACAGGUUAGAAUCCAAGUAGGAGCCACAAGAGCAUGUAAGUGUAGGCAUGGGUAAUCUUCCCUUAGCCAACUUCUCAACAGUUGUCCCAAAGCUGCCCCUGGAUCCAGU
rnacentral:lncRNA from 1 species